rnacentral:rRNA from 1 species
AUUGAACGCUGGCGGCAGGCCUAACACAUGCAAGUCGAGCGAGCGGCGGACGGGUGAGUAAUGUAUGGGGACUGCCCGAUAGAGGGGGAUAACUACUGUAAACGGUGGCUAAUACCGCAUACUAUCGGAUAACCCAUAUGGGAUUAGCUAGUAGGUGGGGUAAAGGCUCACCUAGUCGACGAUCUCUAGCUGGUCUGAGAGGAUGAUCAGCCACACUGUGACUGAGCCACGGCACAGACUCAACCGGAGGCAGCGGUGGGGAAUGUUGCACAAUGGGCUCAGACCUAGUGCAGCCAUGCCGCGUGUAUGAAGAAGGCCUUAGGUUUUUAAAGUACUUUCAGCGGGGAGGCGUUACCCGCAGAAGAAGCACCGGCUAACUCCGUGCCAGCAGCCGCGGUAAUUC